rnacentral:lncRNA from 1 species
CCGGGAGCCGUCCCCCAGGAAGAUCCCCACCACCAGCUCCUUCCUGUCCCCAUGGUGUCCCCUCACUCCUUCCUUCUGGAUGGGGGCCAGAGGGCAAAGGAGGGUAUAAAGGCGACCUGGAGGGACCCAGGCACAAGCAGACGCCAGCGAAGACUCUCCCGGCCAGGUAAGGUGCUUGGCUCCAUGGUGGGGUCCGGUAAGGUCAUGCUGGCCCUUGCUUUGGAGUCAGGAGCCCUCUCAUCUUCCCCCAGAUCCCUGGGAUGCGCCAGCCAGAGGCCAUGCUGCUGCUGCUCACCCUGGCCCUCCUGGGGGGCCCCACCUGGGCAGGGAGUAAGUCCGCGGGGUCUGCGCCCAAUCUCCCCUGCCUCCCUCCAGACUCACUCUGGUCACAGAACCAUCCUGUCUGGCUAGAGGGGCGGGUCCCCUGUUCUGGCAGAGGUCGCCCCCAUAUCACGGCAUGGGGAUUUUCUCCCCCUUGGUUCUCUCUUCCCUGCAGAGAUGUAUGGUCCUGGAGGAGGGAAGUAUUUCAGCACCACGGAAGACUACGACCACGACAUCACAGGGCUGCGGGUGUCUUCGGCUCUUAUGGUGAAAAGUGUCCAGGUGAGACUUGGCGACUCCUGGGAUGUUAAACAGGGCGCCUCAGGUGGGCAGACCCAGGAAGUCAUCCUGGAGCAAGGCGAAUACAUCAUAAAAGUCGUUGGCGCCUUCAAAGUUUUCCUGCAGGGUAUGGCCCUGUGCACCAACAAAGGCCGCUGUUUCUAUUUUGGGAAG